UGAUAACAGAAUAAUAAGUUUUUUUCUCUUAUAUCUUUAAAAAUGAGCUAGUGAAAUAAACAAAGAAGCGAGUGCUUUAAUUGUUUUGAUUUUUGUAACUGUCUAUCAUCAGCAUUGUUGAUUUUAGCCAGCAUAGUGUGAUUAAGAUAGAGUAGAAUAGAGGAUGCUAGGAAAUUGUAGGAAAUAGUUAUCUUCUGAAAUUCUUAAUCUAUAAGAAGUGAGGAAAAGCGCUUAGAAAACAGAUUGUGCAUUCAUGUCACUGUGCACGAGACGUCGGUGAUAUUUCGAUAUGGCCUCACUAGAAAAUGAAUCUUUUCACGAAAUCAAAUCUCAUUUUGUCCACUCUAAUGACAAUUUAGAAUGGGUUCCACUUUCUUUGACUCUUGUCGAAUAUCCUCAGGGUGAUGGACUUGGAAAACUUUUGGCCCUUAUUAGUUUAAUGCCAUUUACUGUGGUAACUGGCUUUGUUACGUUGAUUAUUUUUAGGCGAGACCUUCACACAAUCGUAUUUUUUAGCGGAAUGGUCAUUAAUGAAUUUGUAAAUUUUUUGUUAAAACACACAAUUUGUGAAGCAAGACCAAUGAGACGCGAUGUUCUCUAUUCUGAAUACGGUAUGCCGUCAUCCCAUGCACAAUUUAUGUGGUUUUUUACCGCAUAUAUGGUACUUUUCGUAUGCAUCAGAUUGCACCAUAAUAAUAAUAGUACUAUCUCAGAAAGAUUUUGGCGACUGUUGACAAUACUUCUUUGCAUUGCUGCAGCAGUACUGGUAUCUUACAGUAGAAUUUACCUACAAUAUCAUUCAAAUUCUCAAGUGAUGUGUGGUAUAAUUCUUGGCAGUGCAUUGGGAAUCGUUUGGUUUUUAAUCACACACUUAGUUUUAACUCCAUUCUUUCCUGUCAUCGUUUCAUGGAAAACGUCUGAGUAUCUCCUUUUGCGAGACACAACUCUCAUUCCAAACGUUUUGUGGUUCGAAUACACAAACAUUCGCACAGAAACAAGAGCUCGAUCUCGAAAGCUCGUUUCAAUGAAAUCUCAAUGACGCCUGAUGGUGAGCCAAUGGGCCGAAAGCAAGUAAAAGCGAAUCAAUGCCUUGUUAAUUAUUUACAAAAAAUCACUCUGCAAUAUUACCUGGAUAUAAAAGCUCAGAUAAAGAUGCAACUUCAACUCGAGGGCAAUAAUAAGAAAAACGAUUAUCGUAAGUCAAUAAUAAUAAUACUAAAUGGACUGAAAAGUCGAGUUGAACUGAAUCACUGAAAAUAUCUGAUCUUUUUUUAUAUAUUAUAUUCCUUAAAGUGAGUAGUGAAUUUGUACUGAAACAAAUUUUUUAGAUAAAAAUUUAGUUAAUUAAAUCUUGAGACGAAUGGACUUUCCAAUUAAUAGGCAUCUUCAGAUUUUUACAUGUUAAUUUUCAUUUGUUACAUUUUGAAAAAUCGAUUGAUUGGAUUAAUCCCGAGGCAAUCUAAACUAGAAACAUACUAUCUUAUAGGACUAUAGACAGUGAAACUGAGCAGUCUGUAUUUGUACAGAUUUGCAAAGCGAUAAUUCUCAAGAAUAUUGAGCAUUCGUAUUAUUCACGUAAGAAUAAAUUAUAAUAAUAACCGAAACGCCGAUAGACAUGUAACAUAUCACUUUCCUAAUCUUUUGAACGAAUCACAGAAAUGAAUAGUAUUUCAGGAUAGACUGAUUAUAAAAUGGCUGAAAAAAAGAGUCAGAAUUGUGCAGUAAUCAAAAUUUCAGCGGGAGUAGUGCUUAAAAUAUUUUGAAUGAUAUAAAAUCAAAAUAGAGACGACCAAAUUUAAUACUUCGUUUUUAAAACUACAAACCAUAUUUUCAGAUUUUUGUUAGCUCUAUGUCCGCCUCUUAAAACAAUCACUACCUGAAUGUUUAGUUCGCACAAUAUGAUAACAAUUUUAUAUUGGCAUUUUUUUUAGAAUUUUGAAAUUUUUUGUAAAUAUUUUUUCUGGAUAUUUUUAUUACAUUUUUAAUAUGUAUGCCUUUGAAAGUUUAUAGUAAUACGAAGAAAUGUUUAAACUUGAAUUUCAUCUAGUAAGGUUUCUGUGUAAUUUUUACUACUUUUAAUAUGUUUUUUAAAAUUAUUUUUGUAUAAACCCAGAAUUAGCGAAAAAUGACCUAUAAUAUGAAUAAUUUUCAUGAAAUGUUUGAGAGUGCAACCAACCGAUGUAAAGACACAAUUCUAUGAAUUUAAACGCUUCGUUAUCGAAUAAAAGAAUUUAUCAGAAUGGAAAAUUUUGUAUGCUUGAGAAUGGUUGAAUUCAAAUGGUCGAAGUCUGAGUGAAAUUGAUAUCCAACUUUUUGUAUCUGAAAAGGAAUAAAAGUACCUCCUGAAAAAA